rnacentral:misc_RNA from 1 species
GAGAUCUGCUAAAACAUUUGACCUGAAAUUUUAUGGCAAUGCUAUUCAACUUGGUGACUUGAUUCAAAUAAAAGCUCAUGCUAGCUCCCAACUGGCAAAUUAUAUAGAACUAAACAUACAAGACCAGACCGGUAUAUAUAAUUCUUAACUCUUAAAAUAAUUGUUUCUAUUAUAGAUAAGUUCUCAAACCUCCUUUUCAAUCUGUUGGGCU